GAAGUGGCGUAAUCACAUGCGGCGCGAGUGGAUAAGGGCAUUUUCCUUUUAUUCCUUUGACUUGAUCUUGGCCGUCCAUGUGUUAAGCGAGAUCGACUAAAUUAUAGUCCUAAUUCGCAAGUAGUACUACUAGUAUUGGGUUUACUUCUCCGAAUAGGAAUUGCCUGGAAAAACUCACAAUUAAUGUUGAUUUGGUUCAAUCUAUCAGACGGUUAUAAAUUAAAAGUUACUAAAUAUUUAAAAAAUAUUAAUUAUUUUUAUAAUGUAAAAAUGUAAUAUCUUUAUAAUUUUUUCUGCUGUACGGCCAAGGCGGAUGUACGGUACAGCAGAAAUUUAUUUUAUAAUUAAUUUUUUUACGGCAUCCACAACUUAAAAUCUACAACUUUUAAAUAUAAAAUAAAAUCUGUAUACUCAAUAUCUCAAUACUCAAUAGCAUACGCAUGGAACAGUGUGUAAAUAAAGUACUUAAAAAAAAAGUACCAUGAAGAUAGAUAGGUGAGUAACUUCGUAAAAAGUUCUCCUGUAACACACCCAUUUUUAAAAUUUCUAAGCAUAAUUUCAAUGUAUUGUUUUAAAAAAAAAUAUAUACAUGGUGAAGAUUUAUUUCUGUAUUAUAUUUAUCAAUUUUUCAAGCCAUAUUUUAAUAGGACGUUUAUUUAAUUAAUAUAUCCAUGCACUCUGGAUAUAUUAAUUUGGAACAAUAACUUGGAACUUUUAUUAACCCAAUCUAAAUUAUAAAAAUCUACCUCUGAGAAAUUAUAUUCUUAGAAGCUAAUUUAUAGGUACGUUGGCAAUUCCAGUGUGUCUACAGACUACCAUCAUGGAAAACUCAAGAAAUCAACAAUCACAAACACGGCAGACGCCCAAAAUGUUGACAUGGAAACGACCACAAACAUGGCAAACGCCAAUUGUUGACAUGGAAGCUACAAAAUAUACAUACAAAUAAAGCGGAAGUUUCAGACUUCCGUAGCAGAAAAUACAUAAAAGGAAAAAGAAAAAGAAAAAGAAAAAGAAAAAGCAGCAACAGUUUACACAGAUUUUACAAAAGACUAAUAUAGAGUAACAUGCAACGAAACAACGCUUGAACAUGAAAGACAGAAGCUGAGGCUGCGGCUGUGGCUGUUGCUGUGCGAAGCUCAAGGGAACGGUGCCCUCUUCUUCAUUUCGCUUGAUUGAAUAUCGACGGCAAAGCCCUUGGCAUGCUGCUUCCAGUAGUCAGCCUGUGGACUAAUCCAUUCAGGCUCGUCAAUCUCCACCCUCGAUUGCUUCAACGCAUCAGUUGAUAUGUUGUACUUGUCAUCCCUUUUCUGAACCAAGUCUGGGCGCACCAUGCCCAAGUUCACUGCCUGUGGAGACAUCAUCAGCGCCGGUGCACCCAGUGGCAGCCUAUC
rnacentral:lncRNA from 1 species